GGAGGGCCCCCCCCCCCCCCCAAUUUGCCCAGUUCCUUCCAGAGCAAUGCCGCCAGUGUGAAUGAGGCCCUAGAAAGGCUAGGUUGGCCCCUUUGAUGCUGUCCUCCUAAGCAGCAGUUGCUUUUGAAAUGCCCCAGUAUCACUUCUGUCUUCCCACAUCUCUGUUUUGCCCUCAAGCUUGCUCCAACUACUGCAAACUCAGUUCAAAGCGCAAAAGUGAUUGAAUUACAAGCUUGGCAGAUGAACGGAAUGCUGUGGAUGUAGUGUAUCUUGAUUUCAAUAAGGCCUUUGGUGCCACCAGCCAAUGGUUCAGGGAUGAGCACUGGUACAGAGACUACUACUUUGAGGAGUCCUUUCUAAGAGGAUGAUUGAACAGUAUGUGUUGUGGACUUUCAGCAAUGGAGAAAACAUCACACAAGAGAUACUGGAGCUUCAAAUUCAUGGUGGGGAUUAAAAUUGGCAGAAUCCUUCACAAAGCCCAAAAAGGAGCCUCACUGCAGAAACGAGAGAACAUGGACGCAGUCUGUUUGCAUGUCCUGCUAUGGACCACCUGUGUCCCCGACUCCAUGCACAGCAUGUGCUGGUAACCUCAACGCUGGAGUUUUGCAAUGAGAAAUAGAUUGGGCUACCUCUGUACCAAAUUCAGAAACUUUGGCUAGUUCAGAACAUGGCAUCCAGAUCGAUCCAAGAGUGAUCACUUUACACCAAUAUUAAAAUCA